rnacentral:tRNA from 1 species
GGAGAAGUGUCUGAGUGGUCUAAAGAGCUCGAUUGCUAAUCGAGUGUAUUGAAAAAUACCAAGGGUUCAAAUCCCUUCUUUUCCG